AGAGAGGUGGCCGAGUGGUCGAAGGCGCACGCCUGGAAAGUGUGUAUCCCGCUAUCGCGGGAUCGAGGGUUCGAAUCCCUUCCUCUCUGCAA
rnacentral:tRNA from 1 species